CCAGACUCCUACGGGAGGCAGCAGUGAGGAAUAUUGGUCAAUGGUCGGGAGACUGAACCAGCCAAGUCGCGUGAGGGAAGACGGCCCUACGGGUUGUAAACCUCUUUUGUCGGGGAGCAAAGCGAACCACGUGUGGUUCAUUGAGAGUACCCGAAGAAAAAGCAUCGGCUAACUCCGUGCCAGCAGCCGCGGUAAUACGGAGGAUGCGAGCGUUAUCCGGAUUUAUUGGGUUUAAAGGGUGCGCAGGCGGAGGUGCAAGUCAGAGGUAAAAUUGCGGGGCUCAACCCCGUACUGCCGUUGAAACUGCAUCCCUUGAGUGCGCGAGAAGUAUGCGGAAUGCGUGGUGUAGCGGUGAAAUGCUUAGAUAUCACGAAGAACUCCGAUUGCGAAGGCAGCUUACUAAACUGCCACUGACAUUGAUGCUCGAAAGUGUGGGUAGCAAACAGGAUUAGAUACCCCGGUACC
rnacentral:rRNA from 1 species